rnacentral:lncRNA from 1 species
ACAAGCCAAUUAAGUCGCAUAAAAAUGCUCCUAUCAAGUUUCAUGCUCAUCAUAGUAACGAAUGCCUCGUCAAUACUUAUAGUUUUCAUAAUGCUUAAUGAUCUUUGAGUGUAUCUUUAUUGUGCUGUUCACGUAAAAACCUUUUGAAGAAUGCUUGAAUUGUUGUAUGCGCUUUCCCAUCUGAUUCAAUAACUUAAGGAGAACUAGAAGUUUAAUUUAAGCGGACUUAAUUUUUUUUUUUAACCAAAGGCAGAAAUUUAUAAACGAAUAGAUAAGUUUACAUCCUGAGCCAAAAUAUUAAACAAAAAAUCAAGCCCAAUAUAGUCCCAGACAAACUCCUUUCCUUCUUGGAAAACAUACUUGGCCACCGAGUGCACCGCACGGUUACUUUCCCGAGAAACAAAAUCGAAAGUUACCUACUCCAAACCACGGGCUAGAGUCGCG